AGAAAGAAAAGAGAAAAACAAUCAUUCAAAAAAUUGCAGUAGUUAGUGUUUAGACUCCCAAUGUUGGGAGCUAUGGCCCUGGGACAGGAGUGGGCAGGGAAGGAAGGGGGCAGUGAUUUGGGAAGACCAACGCAGAAAGAGGGGCAUACCUAUCAUCCAAAAAUGGGCAUGUUAGUCUGGCAUUCAUGCCAGGUUACCUGAUCACC